UACGUAGGGUGCAAGCGUUAAUCGGAAUUACUGGGCGUAAAGCGUGCGCAGGCGGCUUGCAAGACAGAUGUGAAAUCCCCGGGCUUAACCUGGAACUGCAUUGUGACUGCAUGGCUGGAGUGCGGCAGAGGGGGAUGGAAUUCCGCGUGUAGCAGUGAAAUGCGUAGAUAUGCGGAGGAACACCGAUGGCGAAGGCAAUCCCUGGGCCUGCACUGACGCUCAUGCACGAAAGCCGUGGGAGCAAACAGG
rnacentral:rRNA from 1 species